UACGGAGGAUGCGAGCGUUAUCCGGAUUUAUUGGGUUUAAAGGGUGCGUAGGUGGGCUUUUAAGUCAGCGGUAAAAAUUCGGGGCUCAACCCCGUCCGGCCGUUGAAACUGGGGGUCUUGAGUGGGCGAGAAGAAGGCGGAAUGCGUGGUGUAGCGGUGAAAUGCAUAGAUAUCACGCAGAACCCCGAUUGCGAAGGUAGCCUUCCGGCGCCCUACUGACGCUGAGGCACGAAAGUGCGGGGAUCGAACAGG
rnacentral:rRNA from 1 species